UGUCUAUCCCCUCCCCAUCUCUCGUUUCUGUUGUUUUCUCCCCGUCGCUUCUCCCUCUCUCUCUCUCUCCCAUUUUCCCCUCCCGGCUUCUCUUCUUCCCCUCCCCAAAUCCUGAGCACCUCCCCAAAUCCCGAACUCCGCGGCGCCAGAACAGGGCGCAGAGGUGAAGCAGGGCGCAGAAGCGGAGCAGGAUGUGGCGCUGGUGUAGCCGUGGUGCAAGAGAAGGGCACGUUGGCGGAGCAGGGCGCGGAGGCGAUGCCGGGUGCGGAGGCGGAGCAGGCCAGGGCGCCAGGGUGGAAGGAGCGCGGCGAAGGCGGAGAAGGGCGUGGAGGUGGUGAAGGCUGCGGUGGCGGAGCAGGGCGAUGCAGGCUAUGGUGGCGUGGAGGCGGUGCUGGCCGCGGCGGCGGAGCCGGAGUAGGGAAGGCGGCAUAGAAAUUCACGGCGACGUGCGAAUUGGGGUGGAGCUUGAAGGUGAGUGGCGCUGCUGGAUGGACGCUGCGACGAAGCCGAAGUAGGGCGGGCGGCAGAGACGUCCAUGACGACGAGCGAGUCGGGGUGGAGCACUGGAGCUUGAAGGUGAGUCCACUGCUGGAUGGACGCGGCGGUGGACUGGGGUUGGAGGGCGGGCGCAGUGUCGGAGCAGGGCGUGGUCGCAGCCGACCAUAUGGGAGAUUGUCAGGGUUUCCUUGCCUUGAUUUCUGAUGGCCCAUGGCUGUUUCCUAAUUCAUCAGCCGCGAAUUGCAGCAAGAUGAGGGGGCUACUGAGAUGGGUCAAGCGUUCAUCUCGACGACCUUCUUCUGGAUUGAUGCGGCCGACAGCACGCCACCCUCAGGCUCGAUGGCCUUCUUUUGUAGAUCGAUGCGGCCUUCUUCUUGGAUCGACGCUGCUGUACUCGGUAUCGGUCAUCGACAAGGUGCGGUGGUUUACAGGGUGUCGCCAUGUCUCUGAACUUGACACCGUCGCCACCUAAGACGCCGGCCUUGAGCUCACAGCCAGCCUGGUACUUAUCAUACAAUGUGCCCACCGUACAGCCGACCAUGAAGAACUUGCGAACUUGUAAAUUUGAUCCAUUGAUGUCUAACUUCAAAUCUGUGUUCUAAUUGCUGCUUAGCUUUUUUGGAGAAUUAAUUGCUGCAUAGCAUUUACAAGCUAAA